CUAGCAUUCUUUUCAAAUGAAACUGCAAUCCAUACUUGAAUCUCCAAGCUCUGAACUCCAUAAACAAUUUUUGAGGUGGUAGAUUAUAAUAUUUUAUAUACCAUUAUUUAUUGUUUAUGUUUCUGUCCUUUAAAAAUGGUGGAACCUGCAGCACUUAAUAUAAUGGGAAGCCUUCCGGUAUCGACAGAAAGCAUCCUGGGCCCCAAAAAGCUUCAUUUAUAGGCAAACUUUCUAGGAAUACAUUUGAGAAGCCCAUGUCUGCCAUCUUUAAGAGCUGAACAUAAAACCAAGAUCAAAAGCCCAGCAUCCAAAGUCUACAAGCUAAAUAAGUUCGAGACAUUCAUUAAACUUUCACACAAUGCUCUGCAAGUCCACAGCAUCUGCAUCUCUGCAGCGGGGUCCCAGGAGCCCAAACACAGGGUUUGGAAGCUUACAGCUGCACCAAGACUCACAGAACACCUUUGAUUCCAUUACCCUGCUUGUUGUCACAGACCACCAUGCUGGCCGGAAUUAUGAAAGUAACUUUUGAUACAUUUAUUUAACAAAGAAAAUCAUCAGAAAAUGAGAAGCAUCAUUAUAGUUCUUAAGAUAUGCAGUGUGGACCCAAUAGAAGUAGAUAAUCAAUGGCUGACACUUUCUCUUAUUUUCCCAAACAUACUAAUAUGCUAAGGAGUGCUUGCAAAGAAGUUGAAGACAAGUGUUAUUAGCAGUUUUUUGAUUUAAAUGAUUGACGGUGAUGACUAGCAGAAUCAAUGGUGCAGCAGGAAGAAUCCUUCAAUGCCUAGCAAUGACCAGUCUGCUCCUAAGUGACUUUCUGAGUUGUUCGGGCCCCAUGUUAAUGGUGCUACUGCAGUGAGUCUUAAGGAACAUGCAGCAAUGUUGGGAAGGGGGCUUCAGAAAAAUGGGAAAGACAUAAAAGUCAUGUAGUGUUUCUAAAGUCUAAAACUUUAAACUUCAAUAAAAAAAACCUCACAUAGUUGACAGCUAUCAGCCUACGGUCUGUGUAUGGGUUGGGAGCUUUUGCUGUGGGGGCCGUGUUGUAACUCUUACGUUAAAAAGGACAAGGAGUGGGUUGCGUGGACAAGGUCCCAUUCUUUCCUAUGAGCAUAGUCCUUGCCAUCCACGAGUCUGCUGAAUUCAAUGUCUGUCUUUUAGAUGAAAGUACUAACUUUGCUGGCUUUUGAGCUGGAGGGGAGAUAUUUCUCCAGUCCUUGUAGAUGAGGGGCUCAUGAUGUUACAAACCCUCAUUUGUCCCUCAAGACAGGAUGACCUUAUAGCACUGAAUACCAAUUAAACUACUAAUGUUGAGAGACCUCUUACAGCAGCUCUGCACAGGUCUUUAUAUAUGUCUUCACAUAGUCUAGAAAUGGCCACUAGAUUCUGUGCCUUUUCUUUGCUAAGAGGAGCAAA